GACGAACGCUGGCGGCGUGCCUAAUACAUGCAAGUGGGGCGCAAGGAAACACACUGUGCUUGCACACCGUGUUUUCUUGAGUCGCGAACGGGUGAGUAACGCGUAGGUAACCUGCCUAUUAGCGGGGGAUAACUAUUGGAAACGAUAGCUAAUACCGCAUAAUAUUAAUUAUUGCAUGAUAAUUGAUUGAAAGAUGCAAGCGCAUCACUAGUAGAUGGACCUGCGUUGUAUUAGCUAGUUGGUAAGGUAAGAGCUUACCAAGGCGACGAUACAUAGCCGACCUGAGAGGGUGAUCGGCCACACUGGGACUGAGACACGGCCCAGACUCCUACGGGAGGCAGCAGUAGGGAAUCUUCGGCAAUGGACGAAAGUCUGACCGAGCAACGCCGCGUGAGUGAAGAAGGUUUUCGGAUCGUAAAGCUCUGUUGUAAGUCAAGAACGUGUGUGAGAGUGGAAAGUUCACACAGUGACGGUAGCUUACCAGAAAGGGACGGCUAACUACGUG
rnacentral:rRNA from 1 species